UAUCCUACAGAUAAGACAUGAGAACAUCUAUAUCAAAACAUCUUUGUAUACAAACACACAUCCAAACACAUGUCUCAGAUGCUAAAAUGGCAAACUUUUAAAUAAUCUGAUAAAACAGAUAAAACAUAGAGCAGAUGAAAGAAUUGCAUAGUACAUAGCAAAUCUAUUAUCCUUUUUAGUGUUUCCUUCAUUGAAGAUGUAAGAAAUGAGAUUUGUUUUAAAACUGAUGAAAGAGCAAAAUGCUGCCGUUUGGGAAGAAUGUUCUGCACAGUUAGAAAGAGAACUUGCCUAUAAAUGGUAAAAUUUGUUAUGAAUCCUGACACCCAGUAAAUGUGUUGGAUACUUAUCAGCUUUACUAAUAUUGUCAGAAGCCAGUUACUCAGGACUUGUGAAGUUUGAGUUAUCUGAAAUAACCUGAACAAGGUGGAUUUAAAAAAAUAUUAUUUAAAAAGAAAACAAGACAAAAUCAGAACCGAAAUUUUUAUUGGAAUUGGAUAUUUCAGUUUGCAUAUAUUUUAAAGUAAAAUUUGAAAUUGAAAACAUUUACAGAGACAAAAAAUAAAUAUUUUUAAAAGAAAAACAGUAAUUAAGGAUGCAGUAUGAAUUUGCUGCUUAGUUUCUAAAAAAAAAGUCAAACCACUCUUUUGCUGAAGUGGAAAACCACUAUCUGAUAGCAUCAACCACUUCCACCACAGCUCUCUAAGAAUGUGUCCCCAUAGCAGCUGCCUCUGCUCAGUGUGUUCAAUGGUGAUCACUCAAAUGCUGAGAAAUGGAGUGUAAAUUGGAAAGAGGCAAGGAAUCUCAUUUUCUUUCUUAGAUGCAAGGCUGGAUGAGAUCUACUAAUCUAAAAUCUUGAAGGGUACAGUGACUGGGAAAAUAAUUUCACUAACACCAUAAAAGAACGUAUGGGGUUUGCGUGGCCAGGUUUUAUUAGUGGGGAGGCUAUGGGGUGGCUUCUAUGAGAAUCUGCUAGGAUCUUCCCCCAUGUCUGACAGAGCCAAUGCCAGGUGGCUCUGUGAUGUACCUGCUGAUGGCCAAGGCCACGCCCAUUAGUGACAGUGGUAGCACCUCUGGGAUAACAUUUAGGAAGGGUUAAAAAGAGACAGGCAACACCAGCAACUGCAGCUGGAGAGAGGUGAGACUGCGUGGAGCAGCUCUGCAGACACCCAGGUCAGUGAAGGAGGAGGACAGGAGGGGCCCCAGGCACCGGAGCAAAGAUUCUCCUGCAGCCCAUGGUGAGGCCAGCUGUCCCCCUGCAGCCCAUGGAGGUCCAUAGUGAAGAAUAGAUCCACCUGCAGAUUGUAGAGGUUAAUGGCAGAGCAGAUCUCCACCUGAAGCCCAUGAAGGUUAAUGGAGGAGCAGAUAUCCAUCCACCUGCAGCCUAUAAAGGACCCCAUGUCAGCAUAAGCAGAUUCCCAAAGGAAGCUGUGGCUCUGUUGGAAGCUCAUACUGGAGCAGGCUCCUGGCAGGACCUAUGGAGAGAGGAGCCCACACUGGAGCAGGUUUUUCUGGUAGGACUUGUGACCCUGUAGGGGACCCAUGCUGGAGCAGUCUGUUCCUGAAGGGCUGCACUGUCCUGAGAGGUGGAGGAUAAAUAGAGAUGCUGUUUCCAGUGCCUGCUAGCACUAGCUGGCCAUGCUCUACAUAUGAAGGAGGUCUGAUAGUUCAGAGUGGCCCAUGUGGUUCAAAGUGCUGAAGCAACAGUAAACUUCUAGAUGGAAAAAAAAAAAAAAGCAUGUGAGCAUGCAAGGGACUUGAAUGGCUAUAUAACUUGAAGAAUAAUGACUCUGCAAGGCCUAAAUUGGAUGAAGGCAAACGUGUUUCAUAUUUCUAAUUUUCUAUGGGUCAUUAAUAUCAUAAUGUUUCAUUCCUUCUUCUAGGUUGCUACUAAAAUUUGUUCUGUACAGGCAGGUUUCACAAAGUAUAUUUUUAUAUGGAAAGGCUUAUGAAUAUGUGGUUUGUGAAGCAAAACACAGGCAAUAAAAAAGCAUAGGAUAAGCAGGUCUUCAGUUUUGUUGUAAUACAGCUCUAGUGUUCGUCUGCAUGUGAAUGAAUGCAUCUGAGUUUUAAACAAACAUCUGUUUCUCUUUCUUUAUCCUCAUGAUACUUCAGGUUUACUUCCAGCAGUUCUUAAGGUUCAUGUGAUAUAAGUCCAUCAUCACAGAAACAAGGAGCAUCGCUCUUGUCAAGCAAGCAGCGUAACUGUUGAUGUGCUGUAUUGAUAGGCAGAUGCCUGCGUGCAGACCUGCCCGAGCUUACCCAGUAAAAACAAAAGAAUUCAAAAUACAUGCACAGUACAUGACAAAUGUAAGUGACGAGGUUACAGUGAGUCCAGAUUACUUGGCAAAUUUAAGGUAAGCGCAGUUCUGACUUGCACAAUUCCUCUGAAGUAACAAAACCCGCUUUUCAUGC